rnacentral:rRNA from 1 species
CCCUUAGACGUUCUGGGCCGCACGCGCGCUACACUGACCAGUGCAACAAGCAUCCGUCCUUGGCCGACAGGCUCGGGCAAUCUUUGAACGCUGGUCGUGAUGGGGAUAGACUUUUGCAAUUUUUGGUCUUCAACGAGGAAUUCCUAGUAAACGCAAGUCAUCAACUUGCAUUGAUUACGUCCCUGCCCUUUGUACACACCGCCCGUCGCACCUACCGAUUGAAUGGUCCGGUGAAGCCUCCGGAUUGGCGCGCACCUCGGUGCCGCCGAGAAGUUGGCUAAACCUUACCAUUUAGAGGAAGGUGANGUCGUAACA